UCAGAUCCAAGAAACUUUAUUUAAAAACAAAAAACAAAAAAAAAAAUAAUAAUAAUAAUAAUAAUAAUAAUAAAAAAAUUAAUUAAAUAAAUAAAUAAAAUAUAAUAGAAAAAGCUUGGACUUGGACCUCUCUCAUUUGAGCCCACAAAGCCAUGAAAAUCAGGUUAUAAAAGAGGGAGAACAGACAGAAAAAGGAAGAGAAGCAAAACACUCUGAGGUUUCCUUGGAACAAAACCU
rnacentral:lncRNA from 1 species